rnacentral:rRNA from 1 species
CCCUUAGAUGUUCUGGGCCGCACGCGCGUUACACUGAUGCAUUCAACGAGCUUAUAACCUUGGCCGAGAGGCCUGGGCAAUCUUGUUAACGUGCAUCGUGAUAGGGAUAGAUUAUUGAAAUUAUUAAUCUUGAACGAGGAAUUCCUAGUAAACGCAGAUCAUCAAUCUGCAUUGAUUACGUCCCUGCCCUUUGUACUCACCGCCCGUCGCACCUACCGAUUGGAUGGUCCGGUGAAGCCUCGGGAUUGUGGUUCUUGCCGCUUUAUUGUGUCGUGACCGCGAGAACUUGUCUAAACCUUAUCAUCUAGAGGAAGGUGAAGUCGUAACA